GGACUGAUGACUGCACCCAGUUCAUGGGAUAUAAAUGAGACAGUGUACAUGAAAGGAGGAAGCCCUGUUGUCCUUUUUGAUGUCCCAAGUAGGAAGCAGUCUGUGGAUUGAAGAGUCUGAACAUUGCUUUUGCAACACAAGCCCCAGGUGGCUGUGUGACCUUGGGA